rnacentral:misc_RNA from 1 species
GAACCUGGUGCCCUCCUCCCCGGGAACCUGGUGCCCUCCUCCCCGGGAACCUGGUGCCCUCCUCCCCCUUUACUCCAAUCCCAAUGUAUGGAUAGAGGCUUAACGGUGUUUGUGGCAGUUCAUGUCCCGGAUGUGUUACUAAAUGGGUGGCGCUGGAGGCUUGGGGCGAUACCACCACUCGUUUGUCUGUUGGCGAUUAGUGUUGUCCCCCCGAGUGGCCAGCGUGGCCCCGUACCAUUCAGGACACGAGUUGCAACGGGUGCGCACUGAAGCUAGCGCGCCCUCCCGAAGAGUGUCAGUAAAAUGAAAUACUAAAACACAAUCACGGUUGCACCAAGCACAACAUCAAACACAUACAAUGCCGAAGAGCAGGCGUAUCGAGGGCAUACCCGUGGCUCAUAACACAGUCACAGUUCAGAAGGCCGGCACGCGGUGUCAACCAGGCCACCAUUCCUCUCCGCAUUAAAGCACUCGGUGGGGGAGGGUGCCCUGGUUGACACAAUGUGCCGCGCAUCAACCAGCGCGACGGAAGUUGGCCUCCAGCAAAGCACAUUUUGCACGCAAAUGGCGUCCGCUCUCCCAAACCACACGAAUGGCACCAUGGCAAAAAACACUCCCUCACAAUGUAUUGACCUUGUUUGUUAAUGAAAUUGUGGCACUGACUUCGGCAGACGCCAAGUGGUGGAUAUAGAACCACCUUUCAUGGCAGUACAUUGCAGCGUGUGCCACAUGUUCAAAAACAAUAAACAGAUUAAAAGAA